UUAAAUGUGGGAGCUGGCUUGCCUGCGAUAGCGCAGUGGCAGCCAAAGAAUGGCUGACUGAUACACCGCCAUCGCAGGCAAGCCAGCUCCCACACUUAA
rnacentral:antisense_RNA from 1 species